GACCCUUCUUAGUGGUUAGAGCCUAGGUCUUGGGAGCGAAAGGUCCCGGGAUCGAAUCUCGUCAGAGGCA
rnacentral:tRNA from 1 species